GACAGAGGGUGCAAACGUUGUUCGGAAUUACUGGGCGUAAAGCGCGUGUAGGCGGCUGCGUAAGUCGGGCGUGAAAUCCCACGGCUCAACUGUGGAAGAGCACUCGAAACUGCGUAGCUAGAGUCCUGGAGAGGAAGGUGGAAUACUUGGUGUAGAGGUGAAAUUCGUAAGAUAUCAAGUGGAACACCAGUGGCGAAGGCGGCCUUCUGGACAGUGACUGACGCUGAGACGCGAAAGCGUGGGGAGCAAACAGG
rnacentral:rRNA from 1 species